AUUGAACGCUGGCGGCAUGCUUUACACAUGCAAGUCGAACGGUAACAGGCCGCAAGGUGCUGACGAGUGGCGAACGGGUGAGUAAUGCAUCGGAACGUGCCCAGUCGUGGGGGAUAACUACUCGAAAGAGUAGCUAAUACCGCAUACGAUCUAUGGAUGAAAGCGGGGGACCGUAAGGCCUCGCGCGAUUGGAGCGGCCGAUGUCAGAUUAGGUAGUUGGUGGGGUAAAGGCUCACCAAGCCAACGAUCUGUAGCUGGUCUGAGAGGACGACAAGCCACACUGGGACUGAGACACGGCCCAGACUCCUACGGGAGGCAGCAGUGGGGAAUUUUGGACAAUGGGCGCAAGCCUGAUCCAGCAAUGCCGCGUGCAGGAAGAAGGCCUUCGGGUUGUAAACUGCUUUUGUACGGAACGAAACGGCUCUGGUUAAUACCCGGGGCUAAUGACGGUACCGUAAGAAUAAGCACCGGCUAACUACGUG
rnacentral:rRNA from 1 species